UACGUAGGGUCCGAGCGUUGUCCGGAAUUACUGGGCGUAAAGAGCUCGUAGGUGGUUUGUCGCGUUGUUCGUGAAAACUCACAGCUCAACUGUGGGCGUGCGGGCGAUACGGGCAGACGUAGAGUACUGCAGGGGAGACUGGAAUUCCUGGUGUAGCGGUGGAAUGCGCAGAUAUCAGGAGGAACACCGGUGGCGAAGGCGGGUCUCUGGGCAGUAACUGACGCUGAGGAGCGAAAGCGUGGGGAGCGAACAGG
rnacentral:rRNA from 1 species